UACGGAGGGUGCAAGCGUUGUCCGGAAUCACUGGGCGUAAAGGGUGCGUAGGUGGCCAGGUAAGUCUGAUGUGAAAUCUCGGAGCUCAACUCCGGAACUGCAUUGGAUACUAUCUGGCUGGAGGGUCGGAGGGGGGACUGGAAUUCUCGGUGUAGCAGUGAAAUGCGUAGAUAUCGAGAGGAACACCAGUGGCGAAGGCGAGUCCCUGGACGACUCCUGACACUGAGGCACGAAAGCUAGGGGAGCAAACAGG
rnacentral:rRNA from 1 species